GGGAAGGUGGUUCAGUGGUAGAAUGCUUGCCUUGCAUGCAUGAAGCCCUGGGUUCGAUUCCUCCGCACCA
rnacentral:tRNA from 1 species